AAGAAGUUGAUCACAACAAACAUAUACCCCUUUGUUUGACCGUGAAAAAUUUCUCCCAUCCCCUUUGUUUGUAUAAGAAAACCCGUUGUCUUCGGACAACGGGUUUUCU
rnacentral:sRNA from 1 species